GGGGAUCCCACCUAAACCAAGCGAUCGCAAGAUCGUUAUAUUGGUUGAACUCUAGAUAACAUGUCAGAUCGUAUGGUCUUGUACCGACGACAGAUCUUUCAAAUUUCUGCCCUAUCAACUUUUGAUGGUAGUAUCUAGGACUACCAUGGUUGCAACGGGUAACGGGGAAUCAGGGUUCGAUUCCGGAGAGGGAGCCUGAGAAACGGCUACCACAUCUAAGGAAGGCAGCAGGCGCGUAAAUUACCCACUCCCAGCUCGGGGAGGUAGUGACGAAAAAUAACAAUACAGGACUCAUAUCCGAGGCCCUGUAAUUGGAAUGAGUACACUUUAAAUCCUUUAACAAGGACCAAUUGGAGGGCAAGUCUGGUGCCAGCAGCCGCGGUAAUUCCAGCUCCAAUAGCGUAUAUUAAAGUUGUUGCGGUUAAAACGUUCGUAGUUGAACUUGUGCUUCAUACGGGUAGUACAACUUACAAUUGUGGUUAGUACUAUACCUUUAUGUAUGUAAGCGUAUUACCGGUGGAGUUCUUAUAUGUGAUUAAAUACUUGUAUUUUUUCAUAUGUUCCUCCUAUUUAAAAACCUGCACUAGUGCUCUUAAACGAGUGUUAUUGUGGGCCGGUACUAUUACUUUGAACAAAUUAGAGUGCUUAAAGCAGGCUUCAAAUGCCUGAAUAUUCUGUGCAUGGGAUAAUGAAAUAAGACCUCUGUUCUGCUUUCAUUGGUUUUCAGAUCAAGAGGUAAUGAUUAAUAGAAGCAGUUUGGGGGCAUUAGUAUUACGACGCGAGAGGUGAAAUUCUUGGACCGUCGUAAGACUAACUUAAGCGAAAGCAUUUGCCAAAGAUGUUUUCAUUAAUCAAGAACGAAAGUUAGAGGUCGAAGGCGAUCAGAUACCGCCCUAGUUCUACCAUAAACGAUGCCAGCUAGCAUUGGGUGUAGCUACUUUAUGGCUCUCUCAGUCGCUCCCGGGAAACAAAGCUUUGGGCUCGGGGGAAGUAUGGUGCCAAGCUGAACUAAAGAUGACGGAGGCACACCAGAAUGAGCUGCGGUUAUUGACCAACCGGAAACUACAGCCAACUAGUGUG
rfam:Drosophila simulans chrT_M_2985 genomic scaffold, whole genome shotgun sequence.